CAAUCCAAAAGUAACAUUAUCUUUGAGUCGAGGAAAACAGUACACAAAUCAAAGGAAAUCAUGAGACAAUUAAUAUCAAAAUUAAAAAUCAAUUGAAUUUCCUCGAGUCAUUUAAUUAAGAAAAUCAAUUAAACUCUUUGAUUAAUUAACCGAUUUUUCAAAAAACAAACUGUUACUUUCUCCCACUAGGGUUCGUAUGUUAAUUGUGAUCUUUUGGUCAAUUCAUUUGUUUUUGUUUCUCUUUGUCUAAGUUGAUUAAUUUGUUGAUUAUUUCCUUCAAUCGUUGAUUGUUAAUUGAUUUAAAUUGUCUAAUCACUUGAAGAGCUUCUGUGUUUCAAUUUGUGAACAAUUAAGGAAAACUAAAAGUAAAAGUGUUAAUUAGAAUGAAAAGAUUUUGUAAUUUCCUUGGUAACAAAAAUGGCGACAAAACUGUUGAGUCAACAUCCUUUUCCUAUGGUUACAUAAUUAUCGGUUUGUAAGAAGGCGAUUGUAUCUUAAUCAAUAAGAUUGACCAUCAGUUUCUUAUGUAUGUGUUACUCUAUGUGCUCAGGUAAAGUGAUUGUGAUUAGUGAAGCAAAGAAGACAAAAAGGAAAAAUUUUUUUUUCUCCACCAAAAAUGAGGAAGAAAAAAGUGUAUGAAAGGUAAACUUGGUGAUUGUUGCUACUGGCGUUUUGCUUACUACCUAUUGUUGAGUUGAUUUUUUUUUUCCUUUCUUCUUCUUAUUCUACCCCCUGUACUUGGUUCGGAUGCUGUAGUUAGUCCUGAUUCCGGUUGACAAGAAGCCAUAAUGGGAAAAACGAUGUACCCUGUUAUCCCCAUUAAUUCAAUCUUUCAACCGUUACCCUUUUGUGUUCAACAUGAUUCCCAUCAUCAUCAUCAUCAUCAUCAUCUUCAUCUCAUCAUCAUAGCUCUUUCUUUUCUCAUCUCACAACUUUCUUCUUCUUCCUCAUCUUUUUAUCAUCUUCAACCUUUUGGAACCGUAAAAGUCUUAACCAAAUUGUAAUCAAUGAACCAGAAUCUGUUGAAAUUUGUUAAGAGAGAGCGAUGGCCGAUGAUGAUACCCUAAAUUGUAUCAAAUCUGUUUACCUGAUUUACUAUUACACGAAUGAUGAGAAAAAUGAUCAAGAGGAUUAAGAGGAUUAAGAUAAUGAUAACAAAUUGAUUGAAAUUUCAUCUUUUCCUUCAUCAAGUGUCAUUCAUAUAA